rnacentral:rRNA from 1 species
CCCGGGCCUUGUACACACCGCCCGUCACACCACGAAAGCCUGUUGUACCCGAAGUCACUACGCUAACCCGCAAGGGAGGCAGGUGCCUAAGGUAUGACCGGUAAUUGGGGUG